rnacentral:misc_RNA from 1 species
AACCUUAUGGACCUGCGGGCGUAUACCUGCGGAGGGAUCAUUACAGAGAUUGAUGCACCAAGUGCAUCACCUCCAACCCCUUGCGAAAACAACUAUCAUGUGUUGCUUUGGCAGUGUUUCCACUGCCAGAGGUUUACAUAAAAUCAGCUGUUUGGAUGUUGUCUGAGUAAACUAUAUGAAUUAUUUAAAACUUUCAACAAUGGAUCU